GAGGGUAUAGCUCAGUGGUAGAGCACAUGCUUAGCAUGCACAAGGUCCUGGGUUCAAUCCUCAGCACUUCCA
rnacentral:tRNA from 1 species